UACGUAGGGGCAAGCGUUGUCCGGAAUCAUUGGGCGUAAAGAGCGCGUAGGCGGUCCGGUAAGUCGGUUGUGAAAACUGGGGGCUCAACCCUCAGAGGCCGACCGAUACUGUCGGGCUAGAGUCCGGAAGAGGCGAGUGGAAUUCCUGGUGUAGCGGUGAAAAUGCGCAGAUAUCAGGAGGAACACCAUGGCGAAGGCAGCUCGCUGGGGACGGGUAC
rnacentral:rRNA from 1 species